rnacentral:lncRNA from 1 species
UUUUAAUUACUAAAACAUCUAAAAGAGUUAACUGUGAAAUUAAAAAAUAAUAGAACCCUAGUAACUAACAUAAAUACCAAAUGUUGGAAGAGAGGAAUAAGACCAAUGACCACACACUCACACGGCGCCAACUGACCAAAAAAUUUAUCAUUGUUUUUUUCAAAAAGCAAAAAGCAAAUAAUAAAAAAGAAGGUGGGGACUCUCUAGAAAAAACUCAGAAUUAACAUUUUCCAAGAUUUUCUUUACUUAUUCACCAUUUUCCUUUUGUUCUUCCACUCUUCAUCAC